GACGAACGCUGGCGGCGUGCUUAACACAUGCAAGUCGAACGGAAAGGCCCUGCUUUUGUGGGGUUCUCGAGUUGCGAACGUGUGAGUAACACGUGAGUAACCUGCCCUUUACUUUGGGAUAACUUCAGGAAACUUGGUCUAAUACCGGAUAGGAUCUCCUUCUGCUUGUUGGGGUUUGGUAAUUUUCGUCGGUUGGGGAUGGACUCGCUGCUUAUCAGCUUGUUGUUGGGGUAGUUGCUUACCAAGGCUUUGACGGGUAGCCGGCAUGAGAGGGUGACCGGCAAAAUUGGGACUGAGAUAGGGCACAGAGUCGAACGGGAGGAAGCAGUGGGGAAUAUUGAAAAAUGGGAGGAAGCAUGAUGCAGAAAAGCGGCGAGCGGGAUGAAGGCCUUCGGGUUGUAAAAAGAAUUAGACUGAGAAGAAGAGAGAGUGACGGUAAUGGGUAAAGAAGCACCGGCUAACUACGUG
rnacentral:rRNA from 1 species